UCGAGCGAUUUACUUCGGUAAAGAGCGGCGGACGGGUGAGUAACGCGUGGGUAACCUGCCCUAUACACACGGAUAACAUACCGAAAGGUAUGCUAAUACGAGAUAACAUAAGUAAUUCGCAUGGAUUUCUUAUCAAAGCUUUUGCGGUAUAGGAUGGACCCGCGUCUGAUUAGCUAGUUGGUAAGGUAACGGCUUACCAAGGCGACGAUCAGUAGCCGACCUGAGAGGGUGAUCGGCCACAUUGGAACUGAGACACGGUCCAAACUCCUACGGGAGGCGGCAGUGGGGAAUAUUGCACAAUGGGCGAAAGCCUGAUGCAGCAACGCCGCGUGAGCGAUGAAGGCCUUCGGGUCGUAAAGCUCUGUCCUCAAGGAAGAUAAUGACGGUACUUGAGGAGGAAGCCCCGGCUAACUACGUGCCAGCAGCCGCGGUAAUACGUAGGGGGCUAGCGUUAUCCGGAAUUACUGGGCGUAAAGGGUGCGUAGGUGGUUUCUUAAGUCAGAGGUGAAAGGCUACGGCUCAACCGUAGUAAGCCUUUGAAACUGAGAAACUUGAGUGCAGGAGAGGAGAGUAGAAUUCCUAGUGUAGCGGUGAAAUGCGUAGAUAUUAGGAGGAAUACCAGUUGCGAAGGCGGCUCUCUGGACUGUAACUGACACUGAGGCACGAAAGCGUGGGGAGCAAACAGGAUUAGAUACCCUGGUAGUCCACGCCGUAAACGAUGAGUACUAGCUGUCGGAGGUUACCCCCUUCGGUGGCGCAGCUAACGCAUUAAGUACUCCGCCUGGGAAGUACGCUCGCAAG
rnacentral:rRNA from 1 species